rnacentral:lncRNA from 1 species
AACAAAGCAGAGAACAAGCAAAGAAACUACACAAGUCCCACACUGCCGGGAGUCUUCCCUGAGCUACUGGAUCAGCACAGAAAACAAGCGGUACGGUGCCAGAAGCCAUGGGAGCCACCUCAUACUCUCAGGGUAAAGGCCAGGGAACGUGCGGGGGAGCCAGCCUACACUGCUGAGCCACAUCACGCUGCCACCUACUACCAGAUUUCUCAUCCUGUAAAAACAACCAACUCCUCGUGGUUUAGGCACUUUGUUGCUGCAUUUUGUUGCUUGUAGCCAAAAGCAUUCUUACCUGACCUGGCAAGUGACUCAAUCAGAGCCAGAGAGACACAAAAAGACUUUUGCUAGGAAAGCUGAGACAUCCUCUCAAUUUUCCCUCCUGGACAAGAUCGAGGAGGGAUGUAGCCCCGAGAGCUGCUGCAGGCACCUCAAAACCAUGAGUGUGAGCCUGAGGACAGGACAUCAGGACAGAGGGGGAGAUGUCAAUAACCAAUAAUGUCACUGAUCUCCCUGACCAGCCAUGCCAGAAGGGAGGUCUGUCCUCAACCUAACUUGAACCAGUAUCUUUUUGCUUAAGCCAGUUUGGUUUUCUGAUACUUGCAA